AGAGUUUGAUCCUGGCUCAGGAUGAACGCUGGCGGCAUGCCUAAUACAUGCAAGUCGAACGAGAGGAAGGAAAGCUUGCUUUUCUGAAUCUAGUGGCGAACGGGUGAGUAACACGUAGGUAACCUGCCCAUGUGCCCGGGAUAACUUCUGGAAACGGAUGCUAAAACCGGAUAGGUAGCAGACAAGCAUUUGACUGCUAUUAAAGUGGCUUUGGCCAUGAACAUGGAUGGACCUGCGGUGCAUUAGCUGGUUGGUGAGGUAACGGCCCACCAAGGCGACGAUGCAUAGCCGGCCUGAGAGGGCGGCCGGCCACAUUGGGACUGAGACACGGCCCAAACUCCUACGGGAGGCAGCAGUAGGGAAUUUUCGUCAAUGGGGGGAACCCUGAACGAGCAAUGCCGCGUGAGUGAGGAAGGUCUUCGGAUCGUAAAGCUCUGUUGUAAGAGAAAAACGGCACUCAUAGGGAAUGAUGAGUGAGUGAUGGUAUCUUACCAGAAAGUCACGGCUAACUACGUGCCAGCAGCCGCGGUAAUACGUAGGUGGCGAGCGUUAUCCGGAAUGAUUGGGCGUAAAGGGUGCGUAGGUGGCAGAUCAAGUCUGGAGUAAAAGGUAUGGGCUCAACCCGUACUGGCUCUGGAAACUGAUCAGCUAGAGAACAGAAGAGGACGGCGGAACUCCAUGUGUAGCGGUAAAAUGCGUAGAUAUAUGGAAGAACACCGGUGGCGAAGGCGGCCGUCUGGUCUGGAUUCUGACACUGAAGCACGAAAGCGUGGGGAGCAAAUAGGAUUAGAUACCCUAGUAGUCCACGCCGUAAACGAUGAGAACUAGGUGUUGGGGGAAUAACUCAGUGCCGCAGUUAACGCAGUAAGUUCUCCGCCUGGGGAGUAUGCACGCAAGUGUGAAACUCAAAGGA
rnacentral:rRNA from 1 species